CUCUCUCUCUUUCAUCCGAGCUCGACGAAUGGAACCCUAGUUUUGCUGCCGUUUAUUCUCUCGCCGCCGCCACUAGAAUCUAAGAUCGGUUUGUGGUUGCCUGUCUUGAAAAUCUCAAUGAAGCUCGUGCUCUCACUGUCAUAGUGUUUGAAUGAGUGAAGCUUCUGGUUGAAGGAUGUCCAUGAAACAGCUGCAGGAGCUCUGUGGAACCUUGCUUUCAAUCCUGGUAAUGCACUCCAUAUAGUGGAAGAAGGGGGAGUUCCUACCUUAGUUCAUCUUUGUUCUUCAUCAGUAU